GACGAACGCUGGCGGCGUGCUUAACACAUGCAAGUCGAACGAAGUAAGAGAGCUUGCUUUCUUACUUAGUGGCGGACGGGUGAGUAACGCGUGAGCAAUCUGCCCUUAUCUGGGGAAUAACACAGGGAAACUUGUGCUAAUACCGCAUAUUAUCCUCUGGCGGCAUCGCCUAAGGAUGAAAGAUUUAUCGGAUAAGGAUGAGCUCGCGUCCCAUUAGAUAGUUGGUGAGGUAACGGCCCACCAAGUCGACGAUGGGUAGCCGACCUGAGAGGGUGAUCGGCCACAUUGGGAACUGAGAAACGGUCCAGACUCCUACGGGAGGCAGCAGUGAGGAAUAUUGGGGCAAUGGAGGAAACUCUGACCCAGCAACGCCGCGUGAAUGAUGAAGGUCUUCGGAUUGUAAAGUUCUGUGAU
rnacentral:rRNA from 1 species